rnacentral:tRNA from 1 species
GCCCGGGUGGUGGAAUCGGUAGACACAAGGGAUUUAAAAUCCCUCGGCUGCAAGGCUGUACGAGUUCAAGUCUCGUCCCGGGUACCA